UAUCAUUUCACUAAGAUGAAUUCUUGGCUACUUACAGUUACUGCAUGGUAAUCUAAGUACAAGUAAUAAAUCAAGUGUUGUGAAGUGACCAUUCAUGCAAUGACAGAAUUAAGGUUGCGAAGUUGCGAGUUCAAAAGAUGUGAACUCAUCGAAAGCUGUGAGCUCUCCUAAAGAGACGACCUCACCAAAAAUACAAGCUCAUCAAAAUGUGAACUGUUAAGGGUUUUGGCGAUCCCUCGUAUGAAGUGCGAGCAAGAAUCUGAAGGGCUGUCUUCUUUAGCUGGUGGCAAUCCGCACAUUGUCUUCAAAGGAGGUCCACAUAAUCCGCUAUUGUUCUCAAAUGAAGCUUCUGAAAAUGAUUGAAGUUGGGUGCUUGCUGGGAUUGGACCUACUAGCUUAUUAUUUAAGACAUUGAGAAAUGAAAGGAAAUUGAGGUUUGCUAGCUGCAAAGGGAUCUCACCGAAUAGGACCCAAGCUCUCGCAAGUUUCCGAAAGUUGUUGGGAUUGACCCUGUGAAAGCAUUAUGUGAAAAGUUGAGGGCAUCAAGUGCUUCGAAUUUACCAAUUACUUCUGGUUUUGGCCCUUCAAAGUUGUUAACUGGUAUUUUCACAAGCUCCAACUUAUUGCCUUUGAUGGUAACUGGUAUUGCAUCUUCAUAAUAUUUAAAAUCAUCGUCUCCGAAGUCUAAAUUUAUGAGAUGUUUGAGCUCUGAUUGGCCUUUAUCUGAGUUAGGCUACAUAGCAUCCCAUGUCUCCAAACAUGUCAUAUGCAGUUUACACUAAAAUUGUUGGAUGCUAUGUCAAAAAUGUUGAGAGCUGGACUGCAAUGCAACAUGAAGCCAGCUACUGUCGAGAUCAGCAGCAAACAACUGCAGCUAUUGAGCUCAACAAAUUUGCUUGGUGCGCAAGAAUGAAAAUCGACCGAAUGAAGCAACCAGUUUUUAAUUAUUUUGUUGUAAUGUAAUCUAGCUUAGUUGCUUUGUAACUAGUUUAUGAAGUUAGUAGGAUUAAGUUUUGAUUGGAUCUUUGAUGUAAAAGCUGGUAUGUCAGCUUAUCUUUGUAUUUGUCUAAGCUUGUAUUAGUUGUGCAUUAGUGGAGGCAGUUAGAUUAUUAGGUAACUGUCAUAUUGCAUAUUGUAACUUAUAUACAUUUUGAAUUUUGAAUGAAAGUAGUAGUUCAGUUACAAA